rnacentral:ncRNA from 2 species
UGACGACACGGCGAUGGCGCUCGCCGGGGCAGACAGCCCGAACCGCCGUUCUCGGCUGAUAGCACCUGUGACGAG